GAUUAACAGAUGCAAGUCACAGGAGGUGACAGUACCGCUCUACUCUCCACUGGUUGGGGCUCAGCUGGAGUACUGUGUCCAAUUUUGUUUACCAGUGUAUACAAAGGAUGUGGUGAAACUGAAAAGGAUCCAGAGAAGCACCCGGGAAUAAUCCCACCAACCCUCCAAGCCUGCUUGCAAGUUGGGUUUGGGGUGCCUGUGUCACUCAUCACAACAAGCUUCUCCAAAGCCUCCCGAUUAGGAGCACCUCACUGUGGCACCUCCAGAAGCAUGGAAUCAAUGAUCUGUAUGACUGUCAGUGGUGAAAGCUGAAAGGAAGCCACUGGCAUGAAGACUGAAGUGCUCAACACCAAGACAAAAACCAAAUUUAGUUUUUGGAACCUACGGACAAUGUACGAAACAGGAAAGUUAACUCAGGUCACAGCAGAGAUGAGACACUACAGCUUACACAUCCUGGUUGUCAGCGAGAGCAGAUGGACUAAAUCAGGAAGAUUAACAACAGCCUCAGGAGAAACUUUGCUGUUUUCUGGAUGGGAUGAUGGACAACACCAUGAGGGUUUUGGCAUCCUUUUGAAGAAGGGAGUAGAGCAUUCUCUGCUUGAAUGGAAAUCCAUCAGCAGCAGACUUAUGAGAGCCAGAUUGAAAGGGAAACAUCAUAAUAUCACCCUGAUUCAGUGCUAUGCUCUGACAAAUAACAGUGAUGAAGAAGUAAACUUUUAAGCUGCAGGAGUUAGAAAGAGUACCACACCAUAACCUAACUAUCAUCAUGGGAGACCUGAAUGUCAAGAUCGAUAAGGACAACACAAACAAUGACAGAGCAAUGGGAAGAUAUGGGUGUGGCACCAUGAACGAAAAUGGAGAAAGGCUUGUUGAUUUCUGUAAUAUGAAUGACCUAGUCAUCGGCGCAACCCUAUUUGAACAUCAUGAAAUUCACAAGCUGACACGGUGUUCUCCAAAUGGCAGAGAUAAGAACCAGAUUGACCAUAUCAUGAUCAAUGGCAAAUGGCAACGCUCACGGACAGAUGUGAAAGUGAGAAGGGGUGCAGAUGCUGGCAGUGACCACCACCUUGUGACAGCCUCCGUCAAGUUAAAACUGAGACCUGUGGGUCCACCAAACAAAAGACAUAGAUGUUAUGAUAUUGACAAGCUAAAGUCCCUUGAAAUACAGAAAGCCUUCAUUCUGCAGUUAAAGAACAGGUUUCAGGCACUUGCAGACCUUGAUGGAGAGGAA